AGAAUUUUAAGUUAACUAAACUGAAGACUUUCAAGGUCUUAUAUAUAUAAUUAGUAUAUUAUUUAAAUUCUG
rnacentral:tRNA from 1 species